UACGUAGGGUGCGAGCGUUGUCCGGAAUUACUGGGCGUAAAGAGCUCGUAGGUGGUUUGUCGCGUUGUUCGUGAAAACUCACAACUCAAUUGUGGGCGUGCGGGCGAUACGGGCAGACUGGAGUACUGCAGGGGAGACUGGAAUUCCUGGUGUAGCGGUGGAAUGCGCAGAUAUCAGGAGGAACACCGGUGGCGAAGGCGACAUCCUGGACCGGUAUUGACGCUGAGGCGCGAAAGCCAGGGGAGCAAACGGG
rnacentral:rRNA from 1 species